rnacentral:rRNA from 1 species
AUCCUACGGGACGCAGCAGUGGGGGAUAUUGGACAAUGGGGGAAACCCUGAUCCAGCGAUGCCGCGUGAGGGAAGAAGGUUUUCGGAUUGUAAACCUCUGUGGAGGGGGACGAUAAUGACGGUACCCCUUUAGUAAGCCACGGCUAACUACGUGCCAGCAGCCGCGGUAAUACGUAGGUGGCGAGCGUUGUCCGGAAUUACUGGGUGUAAAGGGAGUGUAGGCGGGAAUGCAAGUCAGGAGUGAAGAAUAUGGGCUUAACCC